rnacentral:misc_RNA from 1 species
CAUGGUGUCUGGGUUUGGGG